rnacentral:lncRNA from 1 species
CAUUACUCUUUUUACUUAGCAUUGUAUCAUGGCCAUCUUUCCAUGUGAAGUAAAUUUUGUCAUAGGAAAAUUUGGACUUCUCCUGAAACAUAGAAAAUCCUUUAUUAUAAAUGAAAACACUUUAAAAACCACAUUGGAUUCAAACCUACAGAGUUAAAGUGUCACCAUUAGGCCAUUCUUCUACUUUUCUCUACUCUUUGGCUUCCUUCUCUGGAAAAUACUUCCACACAUGUUUAAGGAAAAUUAUGGACUCUUUUAAACGUCAUAUAGAACAGGGUUAAACACUGUGUUUAAACCAACUAGUGGAGAUGUAAAUAGGGCCAAGGAGCUGCCUCAAGCCUUAGCCCAAAGUCAAUGCUGUACCUGCCAUCUGCCCACUCAGGCAAGACUUUGCCUAAUGCGUCUUAACCACAAGAAGGGAAUUUGAUUUUGAUUUAUAUGUGUUAAAUCUAUUCUUAGCUUGCAAGAAAACCUCCUGAUGUCAGAAACACAGAAUGGCUUUGGUAUUUAUGCUGUGCCAGUAAGUAGGAAGUUCUAGGGUAUUUCUAAUGUAUUCUUUUGACAUGAAAUACAGAAUUAACUGCCAGAGUGAAACCAAGACUCCCAGACUGACUCUUCUCCUUCUGUCCCUGGUGAUGGAUGCUGCUCCACUGUCACUUGUCUUUUUAUUUGUCAAACGUCAAGAGCAAGCCAAGGGAGCCUGAUGAGACGUGUGUCUGAGAAGAAAAUGUGUGGAAAUUAACAGUGCCACUUCUAAGUCCUUGUUGAAAGGAGCUGAACUAAAAUAUCUCUAAACGUGUACACGUCAUUAUCAAAUAUGAGUCCUUGUUUUGAAAAGAAUAGGACCUGGAUUAUGAACAUUUUUUUGAAUGUAAUUAAACAGGAUGGAUUAAAGUGUAUUAAAAAAUCAAUGCCAAAGAACUGUCUUUGUCAGCUUCCUUGUAUUGUCUUAAUACUGGAGGUGAAUACAUGAAUCAACGUGGUGAAUCCUAAAGAAAUGAAAGCUUUUUUUCAUUGGGAUGGAGAAUGAUUUCUUGUCUCUAAUCCACCAAUAACAAUGAUAUUCUAAAAAAAAAAGUACAAAGAAAACACUUCAGCUGCUUCAGUUUCCCCUGAGGACUGGAGCUAGAACUGAGAGAUGUAGAAGGGGAAACUGCCACUUUUCGUUCCAACACCUUUGUACUGUUUGAUUUGAUUUUAGCCAGGAGAUGUUUUGUUUCCAUUGUUGGAAGUUUGAUUGAAGCAUAGUUGAUUUACAAUGUAGUGAUCACUUCUGCUGUACAGUAAGGUGAUUCAGUUGUACAUGCGCACACAUCCCUUCUCCUUGAGGUUCCUUUCCCACAUCGAUUGUCACAGCAUAUGGGAACGAUGUUAGCAGGUCCCUGUUGGCCAAUCAUUCCCUAUACCUCAGUGAGCAUAUGCCCAUCCCAAACCCCCAGGCCAUCCCUCCGCCCUCCCCUGUGCCCCUGGGUAACAAUAAGUUUGCCCUCAAAGUCUGUGAGUCGGUUUCUCUUCGGCAGCUGAGCUCCCUUGUGUCCUUUCUUAAGAUCCACAUAUAAGUGAUGCCAUAUGACGGUUGUCGUUCCCUGUCUGACUAACCAUGGAUCUUGGGAAGCACAAAUACACACAAGCAUCUUUGCACGGAGCUAACCCAUCCACCCAUACCAGUGGCCUCCUCUCCCCUCUCACCUACCCUAGAGCUUUGCUCUCUUGUUGGCCACCGACGUUUUCUGGUUACUCCUCUCCCUCCUGCUCUAAGAGGUAGCUCUUGGGUCUGAGAUCCUAUGUGGUUUCAGUCCAGUAUCUCUCAUCCCUCCAUCCCAUACGUGUCGAGGACUUAUCCACACUUGCCACUCCUCCUCGGUGCCACAUCUCUUUUAUGCUUCAUCCCGCGGCAAGCCGGCUUCAGACCCACCAUUCCACCAAAGGCUCUCCUGCUAAAGUGUAUCACAGCUUUCUGUCAGAUCAAUCGGGUCCUCUGUUUUCAUCUUUUGAGACGUCUUCCCUGUACGUUGACACAUUAAUCAUCCCAUCUUCCUUUAAACUUUCUACUUGGAGGUUCCCAUGGCAGCCAUUGGUUCCACCACCCCUGCACCAGGUCUGUCUUCUUUUUGGUCUGAACUUCUAUACACCAGGUGGGGCUCCCUGGGCACUGGGCACUGGACAUUCCCCUAUCUGUCCGUCAUAAUCCAAUGACUCCUGAGGUUUCAGCCAUCACAAAUCAAAGGAUGACUCACAGUCUGCAUUUGCCUCCCAGAACUCACUUUGGACUUAAAUAUCCCCUUGCCACGGGACGUCUCUAUUCAAAUAUCCUCCAAGGGUCCAAAAACUGAUCAUCGUCCUACACAUUAUUCGAACCUCCAGUAUUAUCUAUCUUGACAUUAGAAUAACACAGGAACUGAAGUUCUCCUGAUGUUUUGGUCCCUCCACUACAUGCUACUUACCCAAGCAAACACCCACUCAUGCCAGCUAGAGGGCCUAAAUGUUUCUGGAAUCCAUUUCAGCCCAUCCACGCAAACUACCAUGGCCCUAAUUCAGGGCCUCCCCAACACUUGCUCAGUUAUUACCACACCUUCCUAACUUCUCUCUCUCCCCAAGUCUUCUUUCUGUCAAAUGCACCUUCUGCAUUGCCGGUCAGACAAACCCACUGAAAACUAAAUCACGACUAUGUCACAUGCGUACUUAAAAUAUUUUAACCUUCAAGGAUCAAUCCCACGUCCAAGACACUGCCCUUCCUUCCCCUCCUGCCUCAUUCCUUAUGACUCCGUGCCUUGAACUAGGGGCUCUUGCCAUAGCUAAGGUCUCAGGAUUUGUCUUACACAUCGCCCUUACCUCUCCUCAGUGCAUUUGGUCAUUAAUUGGGCCUGGCUUAUGUCUACACGACUCUCAACAAAGCCAUCACUUCAGUGAAAAGCCCGGCCCCAGGGACAGGGGUGGCCCCUGGGAGUCUCCAGAGACAUUCGGAGCUUUGCUUCUCAUAUCAUCCGCAGCGCCUGCCCUGUCCACUCACCUGCUUCGCCCUAAGGCCUGCAGGCUUGGAACAGGGGGCCUGCAUCUCCCCUCUCCACCUUUGGGACACAGGCCCAAGACAUGCACCACCUUAGGUGCUGAAUGAAUAUUGGUGGAAUAAAGAAAUAAUGUUAAGUUCCUAAAUUGUCUAAUCGUACAUGAGCUUCACAGCCAUCUUGUGAGUUCGGGGAAGAAGAAACUUUUCUGACCUCGGCCCUAGGAACUGGAAAAAACUCACAUGUAAUAAGCACUGCUGUCUCUGUCCUCCUCCUUCCCACACACCACCCCUCACUGCCCACUGCUCCCUCGAUCCUUCUGUGUUAUUGAAGUGGAUACAGAGGGGACCUAAAGGAAAGCCAGAAGCACCAGGUAUCGCCCGACAUGUUUCCACAAUAUUUUCUUAGCCUCUUUGCUUCUAUUCUUUAUGAUGAACACUCCUUCUUGUCCUGCCUUACUUUACCCCAUAUUCCUGUUUGAAAAACAGUCACAGGGCUGGUAAAUGACUUAAGCUUAAGAACAAAGACCUGAAGGCAUCAGUUAUUCAUGUGGUCAGCUGAAUGAGGACCUAAUGCAUUGGUCUAGGCAUGCCGGACCCGUGCAAGUAGGCAUGCCCACUCUUUGCACAGCAGGAUAUGUCCUCUACAGAAUAAGAGGAAGAUGAGCCUCAUGGCCCCAAAGGGUUUAUGAGGGGUCAUUAGAAGGAUAUGCAUUGGCAAGAAGAACCGAAGUACAAAACUAGACACGCCAGGGUGAUGCAGACCAGCACAUGGUCUGCAGAAGAUCAACGGUGAUUCUCUAGAAUGCUAUGCACAGGUAGCUGGAGCCAAGCUUCCUCAAUGCAAAUGAUUGUUCAAUGCCAAAAGGUCAGAAUAAAAGCUUAAUCACCUACCAGCCAUGGGACUUUUAAAAUAAUUUUUAAAGAAAACCUAUAUCCUGCCCCUACAACCCCUUCCUCACGUGACAUAAUCCUCAAGACCACAGUAAAAGCAGUGUGGUAUCUUGAGGCAACGCUCUUGGUCCCUGAGACCUUGAGUUUCCCGGUUCCCACUUUUCAUUAGGAGGAAUAUCUCUGUGUCUUGUUUUACGGUAACUUUUACCUUAAUUUUAAGAGCACCCGUUCGGCAACCCUCACAUUCUCAGCUGGUCUCAGCAAGAAGGAGAAAGUUUUAUGACCUCUGCUCUAGAAACUCGAAACAAAUCUCAUGUAACUAAACACUGCUUUCUCUUCCCACACACCACCCCUCACUGCCCGCUGCCCACUCGAUCCUUCUGUGUUAUUGACAUGCAUACAGAGGGGACCUCAAGGAAAACCCGAAGCACCAGGUGGAUGAACUCCAGGAAGGACAGGACAUCAUUUGCAGAAGAAAACUGGUGAACGGGCCAUGGGACAGGAUGGUCAAGAGACACAAAACGAGCAAACACUGAGUCAUUCUGAAGAGCUGAAAGGGGCGACUGAGGGACAAAGAGAGGAGAGACUGAGAGAUGCAGAGAGGAGGGUAGAGGACAGGAGAGGAAGGAGGAAGAGGGGAGGGGAGGGAGGGAGAAGGUGAAAGAGAAGUUAAAGGCCACUGCCCUGCAGAGAUGAAUACACAUUUGAGGAUAUGAAAGCAUGUUAAAGUCUCUUGCUGCAGUGUAAUUCCAGUUUGCUCUUUUUAACGAAGUGUCAACUAUUGAAGUUGCAAUGGUGUUUAUUUUUUUAACAACUUCAGAUUAGUAUUUCUUUGAAUGCAACCUGUGCUGAAGCCAGAACCAGAAAGUUCAGCUUCCUUCCAAGUAUAUGUUAUGAAGAUGUGUUCAGCUCUUUAGAACCUAAGGUGCAAGUUUCUUCCACCUCUUGAAUUAGGUAACUACCCCAGGACUCAGCCAGGCACCUGAGCCUGCCAGUAGCUAGGCUGCUAGACUUGCAGAGCAAAGAGUGGGACUCACUCUAAACACUGUUGAAUCUACACCACUUGUGAAUGGGUUUAGCAAUCAGGUGGACAGAUGUUGUAAAGGCUCCUCAGAAUUCAGAAAUCCUGUAUCCUCAGGGAAAAGGCAGGCUUUGCAUAGCUUCACAUCCAAGGCAGCAUGGGGAGUCUCCUUGUGGCUAAGGAUUAAGGCGUCCUCACAGCGGCAGCCUGGGACACUGCUCUGGUUCUGAUGGAGAGUUAAUGUCUGGACAGGGAACU